UUUAAAUUUAGAGUUUGAUCCUGGCUCAGGACGAACGCUGGCGGCGUGCUUAACACAUGCAAGUCGAGCGAUGAAGCUUCCUUCGGGAAGUGGAUUAGCGGCGGACGGGUGAGUAACACGUGGGUAACCUGCCUCAAAGUGGGGGAUAGCCUUCCGAAAGGAAGAUUAAUACCGCAUAAUAUAAGAGAAUCGCAUGAUUUUCUUAUCAAAGAUUUAUUGCUUUGAGAUGGACCCGCGGCGCAUUAGCUAGUUGGUAA
rnacentral:rRNA from 1 species